AAAGAUGCUGCUGCGGCCUCCUUAGGCUCAUAUACCUCUGCACUCUAUGCCCUGUGCGAUCCUCAUGGCAAACCCAUUUUGCCCCCACGAAAUGAGAUCCUGGAGACCAGCAAUACAGCCGAAAAAGCAGUUGUUAAAGCUGUUCUUUAUGGCUCGGGAAACGCCUAUGCUCCUAGCUUAGGCCUCGCGGCCGCCAAAAGGUAAUAUACAUAAAUACAUUAUUAUUGAUAACAUGUCUACAUAAGAUUUCUUGAAAUUUCCAUAUUACAAACAGCUCCGUAUUGGUACAUUUUAUCUCUAAUGGUUAUGUGCUGAAAGUGUAACUAGAUCCAAUUUAUUUUGGUAGAGUCUGACUUUGAAUUUUGGAACGGUCGUUUUGUUAAUUUGUUCACAAAACCUUUCCAAAAUCAUUUGUCAUUUUUGGUAUAUAUGCUUAAAUGAACAUUUAGUUUGGUUUAACUCAAAUUUAGCAAUCCCAAAAUUUUGGAACUUGGAAGGGACCAAAUAUUUUUGAUUAAAUUCUGAUUUAGCCCCGUUGGACACUUCUAUUUUGCAUCCUAACUCUAUUUAUAUAUCUUUGACACAAUCAUUUUUGCUUCCGUAUUCUCAGUGCCGUAGCAGAGUAUCUAAACCAAGGUCUUCCAAAGAAGCUUACCGCAGAUGACGUGUUUAUGACUCUGGGAUGCAAACAAGCUAUUGAGCUCGCGGUAGACAUUCUCGCUAAACCGAAAGCCAACGUUUUGCUUCCGAGUCCC
rnacentral:lncRNA from 1 species